UACAGAGGUCUCAAGCGUUGUUCGGAUUCACUGGGCGUAAAGGGUGCGUAGGUGGCGAGGUAAGUCGGAUGUGAAAGCUCGGAGCUCAACUCCGAAAUGGCAUUGGAAACUACCUUGCUCGAGGGUUGGAAGGGGGACUGGAAUGCUUGGUGUAGCAGUGAAAUGCGUAGAUAUCAAGCGGAACACCAGUGGCGAAGGCGAGUCCCUGGACAACUCCUGACACUGAGGCACGAAAGCUAGGGGAGCAAACAGG
rnacentral:rRNA from 1 species